rnacentral:lncRNA from 1 species
AUAUCAAAGAGUCGAGAAGACUGAGGUCCUUUGGUUCCAACAGACCAAACAUACGAUGUCUCCUCUGGAGUUAGUGGGAGUUGUGGGUAUCCAGCAUGCAUCCAUACCAGAGCCUCAGUAGCUGGCCUGAGAUCACACCACAAAUCAGUGACAGAUCUGCUCAGAGCUCAGGACUUCAGACUCUCCAGCCACCUGCUCUUCUUCUAAGAUAAUCCUACCUUACCAGUAUGAUGCUAAAGUGUUUGAAGAAGGAGAAUGGAAGGAAGGCAUCUGGAGCAGUAAACCAGCUCUAUGGACACUUCAAGUGAUUGAUUUGAAUUACAGAAAAGGCAUGGCAGAGGGGUAGAAAGAGUCAAGUACUGCACCUUGUCUGAUUUAUGGCUGUGGAGCCAGUGCCCUCUGCAGCAGAAAGUGGAGAGAUGAAGAUCUACAGCCACCUGCAUUAUCACCCAAGGAGUGGAGAGCGAGGGUUCGCAUUUUAUUCUGGCUGGCAGCCACACAAAAAAGGCCUUCUUCCUCUCCUCCUCCCUCAUCUCCUCCCUUGCUUUGUAUUUUGAUGCUGGUUCUGACUUCUGUGAGGCCUGGAGGAUGCAAAUGAUGAAGUCUGGUGGUGCAAACCAGAAAGCCCAGCUCCCCCAAGCUAGCAGUUUCUGCAUGAUACAGAUGCCACAUUUCAAAAAAAAGAUCACAGUGCAUGACAUUAAGAGAAAUGAUCAUCUAUAUAAAGACAAAACCCAGCAUAUUGUGAAUGUUGUUAGUGCAUCAAAAUCUGCCUUGUACCUGAGGAAUUAUUGUGUGACCUCCCUCAGCUUCUGUGACAGCAGAGCGGAUCAAUUUUACCUUAGGAUUGCAACUGCCCCGCUCAGCACAUCGUGACCAGCCAGAGCUGCAGCAGAGAACUCAUCCACUCAGAUAAAAACCUAAUUGUAUAGUGACCAUCAGAAAAAGAAAAAAACAAACAAACAAACAAAAAACUUUGCAAACUCUUUGCAAACCCAUGCAGAAGAUGGAAAUAAGCCUGCAUGUCAAAAUGGUACGGACAACAUUGUGUGCAUCUGCUUGGGUGUGUGGGUGUGCAUGUGUAAAGGGUUGUAUUUUCUUGUUAAGUUCAGUGGUGGCAGUGUCUGGCACAAUUUGCUUUUUAAAAUCCGUGCAGUUAAGUCUCCCAUGAGACCAAAACCAGUCAUGGUGUUUUUAGGGGGAGAUGGUAAAGUCAGGGGGAAAUGCAUUUGCUGGGUUUUAAUGGAGUAGUUUUUCAAUCACUUAUAUCUCAGCAGGCCAUAAAAGUGAAAAACAAUAGUAUUAAGCCACUGCGUGGAUCUGCUGUAUUACAUUGACCCAAAUUCUGUCUUUAUAAAGCUGAAACAAAUGGGAUCUCCAAUCAGAAAUAAAUCCUCCGUGUCUGUAAUAUUUCUCUUUCUC